rnacentral:lncRNA from 1 species
CCUAGCCGACACUUAUCGCUGGUCAAUAGGGGUUGUUGAGGGAUGCUCGACUUUGGCCCUCUUUAUAGAGGGGACCUUCCAUCACCCUGGGAUAAAGACUAUUUAUAGUCCUCCAUGGCACGAUGGAGUGAUUCUUCUUGUUGUUGGGGAGCAGCAGACGUUUCUUUCAUAGAUAGGGAAGCCUGUCUUCCUGGUGGGGUUUCUGGUUCCUCUAGUUGGGCUGUCGCCAGCCAUUCAGGGAAAGUGCACCACUACACGGAUCUUAGCUUGACAUGGAGGUAUUGAAAAUUGCCAUCUCAUUGGAAGAGAACUCGAACCUGUGGCCUGGGAGAUUUCUCCUAUGCAGCAUCCGA